UGGAUCUUGUCGCUCGCAUUGUUUUUUUUCUGACUCGAAAACGCAGCUCUACCAAAACUGGAAUUAUUAUGCUCUGUCUUGCGCUAAAUGUCACAAAUCUGGAGAGGAGCAACAUAUAAAAUAUAACAAAAACAUUUGGAUACAGUUUCACAUCCUCGAUAGUUGGAUGGAAAUUUUCAAGGGUCAUGUCAAAACCUCCAUCAAAACUUUAGCCGGAUAUCAUGGAUGAUGUGGGAUUUCUCUGCAUGACGAAGAGCGCCAUCCCUAAUCACAGAGCGAGCAAUAAGUGUAAGGAGAGUGUGCUACGUCCAUUCAACCACGGGCUUGACCAAUCAACCAACGUCGAAGUUCCAGCCACCCAGCCUAACCCCAACCCUCUGAACCAGGUUCGAGCAAACUUGGAUACGCCAAAGGUUGAUUACACAAUAAAGACGGAUGCAAACUCUGACACUUACAGCAGAUUUCUCUGCCGUUAGAUAAUUUCUCUCUGAAUCUGACUUUCGUUAAACUGCGAAACAUUUUGCUGACCAUUCUGAUUAUUACCGUUAAAUCGCUGCUGAUUAUUACGUGUUCAAACGGGUACAGCAACAAAUGGAAGAAAAGCUUAUGACAAAGCAACUGUGUUUCUGUGCUCGCGGCGGUUGUGAGGUAGUUGUACAUGCAGCCAGACGGUUUCUCAACUGCUAUUUUGAAGAAGUGCAAGUUGUCAUUAAGUUUGGUUUUCGCAACGCGUUCAAUAUUUUAUCAGACAGUGUUACCGUAAUCCCAGCAGUCUACCAGUGGGACACUCUGUUCCAAGCUGGGGUGCAGCAAGGAGAUCUCCUGCGCCUGAUACUGCUUUCACUCCUUGGCAGUGGAUGCAUGAUAUCUCACAUGGCACUGGCUAAGCGCACAUUUGCCCUGGACGACGGAACAAAAGCGAACCCGGAUGAAGGCUUUCAUGCAGAAAUCUGAACACACACCACGCCUUGCGCGCUAGCCGAAAACCAGCUGUCAAAAAAAGGAUUCUGUAGCCAGCGCAGCUGUGCUGCAGACCGUGAAAAAAGGCAGGCGAUAAAAGGUGGCACUGGCACCUGCCACUGGCAACUACCACCGGCAGUGGCAGCUGCCACUACGCGUUCUGGCAAGCGAUAAAACGUGGCAAGUACCGGAACCUUGAAAUGAAAUAGUUAUGCCAUCCAGCGACAAUCUCUAUAUAAAUUAUUCAGAAGGAAGUAAGUUGCA